rnacentral:snRNA from 1 species
GUGCUAGCUUUGGCAGCACCUAUACUAAAACUGGAAUGAAACAGAAGAUUAGCAUGGCCCCUGCGCAUGGAUGACACGCAAGUUCAUGAAGCGUUCCAUAUUUAA